UACGAAGGGUGCAAGCGUUAAUCGGAAUUACUGGGCGUAAAGGGUGCGUAGGCGGUUGUUUAAGUCUGUCGUGAAAUCCCCGGGCUCAACCUGGGAUUGGCGAUUGAUACUGGGCAGCUAGAGUGUGUCAGAGGAUGGUGGAAUUCCCGGUGUAGCGGUGAAAUGCGUAGAGAUCGGGAGGAACAUCAGUGGCGAAGGCGGCCAUCUGGGACAACACUGACGCUGAAGCACGAAAGCGUGGGGAGCAAACAGG
rnacentral:rRNA from 1 species